rnacentral:lncRNA from 1 species
CCAAGUCUUUAAGCCUCUUCUUUCUCUCAAAGCAUCAUUCGCGAGCCACUCUUUAGUCACAUUUGCUUCUCGAGGAUUCUCGCUCUCGAGACUACAUCUUCACUACCUCUCAUCCAUCGAGCCACAUAUAUUUUCUCGCGCUCAUCAUUCUCGAACCUCGUCUCCUUCUCAAAGGAGAUCGCUUUUCCUCACAUCAUCACCA